UUCCACCCAAAUCUCUAUUUUUUGUUUCUUUCUAGAAAGGCACAGUUGUCUUACAGUCAUUACUUUGAAUUAAAACCACUAUUGAUGUAUUGGUAGAAAAAUAUAAGGAUUAUAAAGACAACAUGAGCCUCUUUCCCCAUUGAUUCCAAUUGAAGCAAUUCUAAAACUUAACCCUGGUAAGAUGGCCGCCAAGUGGUUCCAUCCUGGAAUGGCAAGUCAGAAUUACAUGUCAUAUCUAUUGUUCUAUAUCUAUGGACCAAACUGUCUGUGAGCU